rnacentral:rRNA from 1 species
AUUGAACGCUGGCGGCAUGCCUUACACAUGCAAGUCGAACGGCAGCACGGACUUCGGUCUGGUGGCGAGUGGCGAACGGGUGAGUAAUGUAUCGGAACGUACCUUUCAGUGGGGGAUAACGUAGCGAAAGUUACGCUAAUACCGCAUAUUCUGUGAGCAGGAAAGCAGGGGAUCGCAAGACCUUGCGCUGAUUGAGCGGCCGAUAUCAGAUUAGCUAGUUGGUGGGGUAAAGGCCUACCAAGGCUACGAUCUGUAGCGGGUCUGAGAGGAUGAUCCGCCACACUGGAACUGAGACACGGUCCAGACUCCUACGGGAGGCAGCAGUGGGGAAUUUUGGACAAUGGGGGCAACCCUGAUUCAGCCAUGCCGCGUGAGUGAAGAAGGCCUC